GAUGAAGAACGUAGCGAAAUGCGAUAAGUAAUGCGAAUUGUAGAAUCCGUGAGUCAUCGAAUCUUUGAACGCACAUUGCGCCCCUUGGUUAUUCCGAAGGGCAUGCCUGUUCGAGCGUCAUUAUCACCCCUCAAGCCCUGGCUUGGUGUUGGACUUUAGUUAUAGCUUUGCCUAUCAACUGGUCUCAAAGAUAGUGACGGCGCCCCAGAGGGAACCGGGUACGAGGAGCUUUUUACUAAGCAUGUAUCUGGGACGACUCUGGGCGACGGUCUUGUUAUACUUUUUACCUAAGUGUUGACCUCGGAUCAGGUAGGAAUACCCGCUGAACUUAAGCAUAUCAAUAAGCGGAGGA
rnacentral:misc_RNA from 1 species